CAGAACACGGAACAGGAAGCCAGGGUGAAUUAGUAGUAUGCUUCCUGAUUUGCACAUGGCACGCACGCGCACGACGCUAGUUGCAUACGCCGCUGAUAUGCGUUACUAUAAGAACGCUCAUAGUAGGAGAUGAUCGAUAAAUUCAAACAGGUACGCCGAAAGUGUCGGAACUGAGUUUAUAUUCUGCUUGCAAGUAAAUCGAACCAAGUAACUACUUACAAACUACAAAAUGCCAGGACCAGCUUGCGAUAAGGGCUCAGACAAAUCUCAACAAUGUCAUUGUGGCGAGAAAUGCAAAUGCGGCGAUUCCUCAAGCGCAGACACAUGCGCUUGCAAACCUGGCGAACAGUGUAGUUGUAAUAAAAAAUAAAAAGAAA